rnacentral:rRNA from 1 species
UAAGAAGUUACUCAAGCGCACAUAACGGAUGCCUUGACACAAGUUACCGAUGAAGGACGUAGUAGGCUGCGAUAAGCUUCGGGGAGCUGCCAAACAAGCUUUGAACCGAAGAUAUCCGAAUGGGGAAACCCUAUCAGAGUCAUGUCUGAUAGCUCUUAUCUGAACACAUAGGAUAAGAAGCGGGAACCGGGGGAACUGAAACAUCUUAGUACCUCGAGGAAGAGAAAAUAACCAAUGAUUCCGGCAGUAGUGGCGAGCGAACCCGGAAGAGCCCAAACCUUUUAUGCUUCCGUCUAUUAAUGGACGGAUAAGUUGGUAGACGAAUGUAUAACAGGGGUUGUGACACUACAAACAAUCCAUGCAGAUUACUUGAAUGCGCUUUGCGCAAGCUCGAGUCUUCUGUAUGGCUAGCAGGUGCUACCACCAGCCUGCACAAGGUAAAAAUUUGCUGCAAAGCAAAGCGAAGCGAGCAGAACAGGCUGGAAAGCCUGGCCAAAGACGGUGAUAGCCCCGUAUGCCAAGUAUUCGCAAACCUUGUAUUUGUAGGAGUCUGUUAAGGGAUUUUAUCUCUCAUACAGACUCGUAUGUCGAGUAGGUCGGGACACGAGAAACCCUGACUGAAGCUGGGACGACCACGUUCCAAGGCUAAAUAUAACUUGUGAUCGAUAGCGAACUAGUACCGCGAGGGAAAGGUA